rnacentral:rRNA from 1 species
UAAAAAUUAUUAAAAAUUUAAUUUUCUCGAAUUUAAAAGAGUUAAAAAAAUAUUAUUUUAUUGUAGAAUAAAUAUUUAAAAUAUUUUUUUAGUAAUGAAAUGUUAUUCGUUUUUAAAUAUAUCUAGUUUUUUAAGAAAAAAAUUUAAUUUUUUUUUUAUUAAUAAUUUUAUUUUAUUUUAAGUUGUUAUUAGUAAUAUUAAAAAUUUAAAGGGAUAAGCUUUUAAAUUAAUAAUUAAAAAUAAUUUAUAUAUUUUAAAUAUUUAUAGAAUUUAAAGUUUUUAUUUUUAAAAUAAUGUUUUAAUUGAUUUUAAUUUUAAAAUUAUUUAUUUUUAUUUUAAAUAAUUUAUUAAAAUAAAAAUUUUAAUAUGAAGAAUUUUGUAAUUAUGAUAAAAUUAGUAUAUUGAUUUAUAUAAAUUAAAUUAUUAUAUUUUUAGAUUAAGUAAAGGAAUUCGGCAAAUUAAUUUUUCACCUGUUUAUUAAAAACAUGUCUUUUUGAUUUUAAUUUAAGGUUUGACCUGCCCACUGAAGUUUUAAAUGGCCGCAGUAUUUU